AAGAGCGAAGAACAAAAGGGCGGGGUUUAAGCCAUUUGACUGUCGACUGAGAGUCAUGGCGCAUAGCCUUCACUAUCACUCAGGUUGACCUGUUCGCUUGUACGCUUUGCUUGUCAAUAUUCCACUAAGUCGGCAACAGUGUGAAAAGAAGAUGAAGCAUCAAGUGGCUGACCUUCCCAGUGGACCACUGGAUCUAUACAGACAAAAAGCUUCUUUCUCCUGGAAGGACAUGGUCCUCUUUCUGGAGGGAGAAGAGGUGGUGGCAUUCAAGCAACAUGUCUUCACGACAUUGGAGAACGAUCCUCUUUUUUCCAGAACGCCGGGUGAAGACAUCCCUGUCGAGAGAAUGCGAGAACUCACCUUCCUCAGGGUGAAACAACUCUUCCGCUACGACUUCCUGACCAAAGAAGAGAUCAUGGCAGACCCGUGGAAAACGGUGAUCCUCAAUGACUGCUUGGGAAUGUAUGAUUGGUCCUUAGGGGCCAAGUUCUUCCUCAACAAAGGCAUGUUUGGAGCUACGGUUGCCAACACAGGCUCAGCGAGACAUAGCAAAUAUGUGGACAGCACUGAAGAUAUGACGACUUUUGGAUGCUUUGCACUGACCGAGCUGAGUCACGGCAGCAACACACGAGCCAUGAGGACCACCGCCACCUAUGACGUUUCCACCCAGGAGUUUGUCAUCAACUCUCCUGAUUUUGAAGCAGCAAAGUUUUGGGUGGGAAACCUCGGUAAGACCGCCACACAUGCACUGGUCUUUGCUCAACUGUACACGGCAGACGGAGCAUGCCACGGCCUGCACACCUUUGUCGUGCCGGUGAGAGAUCCUAAAACCCUGCGUGCUCUGCCUGGUGUUCUGGUUGGUGACAUGGGCAAAAAAAUAGGCCAGAAUGGACUGGAUAACGGGUUUGCUUUGUUCCACAAUGUGAGGAUCCCACGAGAAAAUCUCUUGAAUAAGACGGGAGAUGUGACCCCCACUGGCAGUUACGUGACCCCUUUCAAGGACCCCAACAAGCGUUUUGGGGCGUCGCUGGGUGCCCUGUCGGGUGGCAGGGUGUCCAUCACCAGGAUGGCUCUUGUUAACCUGAAGCUGGCUCUGACUGUGGCCAUACGCUUCUCAGCCACCAGGAGGCAGUUUGGGCCCAAAGACAUGGAGGAGAUUCCAGUGCUGGAGUACCAGUUACAGCAAUGGCGCCUCAUUCCCUACCUGGCGGCGGCGUAUGCUCUUGAGCAUUUCUCCAGGUCCAUCUUUAUGAACUUUGUGGAGUUUCAGAUGGGACAGAUGAUGAGAGACAAGAGUGACAGACAGGCAGAGAUGGGCCGGGAGAUCCACGCCCUGGGCUGUUCUAGCAAGCCUCUUGGCUCGUGGACUGCUCAGAAGGGCAUCCAGGAGUGCCGCGAGGCCUGCGGCGGUCACGGUUACCUAGCCAUGAACCGCUUCGGGAGUCUUCGCGACGACAAUGACCCUAACUGCACCUACGAGGGAGACAACAACGUGCUGCUGCAGCAAACCAGCAACUACUUGCUCACUUGGCUCCACGCUAAGCGUCUCGAUGGAGUUUGCAUUGAGUCUCCUCUUCACACUGUGGACUUCCUGGAUGAUUUCCACAAGAUUCUCGCUAACAAGUUCACGGCACACACAACUGAUGACUGCAUGGACCCUGCAGUAUCGCUUGCUGCCUACAAGUGGCUGGUGUGUUUCCUGCUGGAGAAGAGUGACAAGAAGCUCCAGCAGCAGAGAGCUUUGGGAAAGGAGGACUUUGAAGCACGCAACAACAGUCAGGUGUACUACAGCCGCUCCCUGGCCUUGGCCUUCAUUGAACACUGCUGCCUUCAGCGCUUCCACGAGCUGAUUAUGGAUGAGAAUACGCCCAGCGGCCUCACAGGAGUUCUUACUAAGCUGUGUGCUCUUUAUGGACUGUGGAGCCUCAGCAGCCACAUGGCCAUACUCUACCAGGGCAAUUUCCUGAGUGGAAGCAAGCCAGCAGAGCUGAUCCAGACGGCCAUUCUUACUCUGUGCACACAGCUGAAAGAUGACGCUGUGUCGCUGGUGGAUGUAAUGGCCCCCCCUGAUUUCAUCCUUAACUCCCCCAUUGGCAACGCUGAUGGACAGCUCUACAAGAACCUGUGGUCCACUGUGAUGCAGGGGAACCAGGUGCUGGAGCGCCCGUCCUGGUGGAAAGAGUUCUGCUCUGACAAGCCCACCAUCGGGUCCCUGCGAGCCAAACUGUAACAGCCAGCUGUUUCUUCAAGCGUUCCUUGUGCGGCCAAAUAGGAUAUCAUUUUGUCCUCAUCUUGGGUUUCCGGAUCUCCACCCAAAAGACCUUGAUGCACCCUAAAGAACUUCAGCCCUCUUUAAGAGUUGAAGAUGAAGAAUUCCAGUGGGUUGCCUUUCCCAUCAGGAGGUUCCUGGAAGGAUCUGAGCGCCUUACCUCCAACCAUCAUGAGGGAGUCGUUCAAGAAGAGAGUGAUCCUGUCUGAAGGAAUGGCAAAAGAGAUGCCCGCGGCCACCUUGAGGGUGUUGAUGCCGAUCACCUCGCCAUCCUUGAGUGAAGAAGACGGCACAGCGCUCAAAUGUGACUUAGUGUACGGUACCUUGAGGUGCUGCUGACCCGACACUGGUGUCGUGCUAGAGACCACGUGAGCGUUGGUGACGAUCAGGCCAUGUUCUGACAUCACAAAGCCCGAUCCGCUUGACAGAGGGACAGUCCGACCAAAGAGAGGAUGCCUCGGGGAGUCCCUGCUGCAGCGCCCUCCUGCUGGUAGCCUUCAGCUGGCACGCGUUUCCGUACGUCUUGCCGUCGCUGCCACACACCUCUUGGCUCAGCUUGCACUGGCAGAUGCCCUUGAGCAGGAGCUUGCCAGUCGGGUGUUUGCACUCCAGCCCGUCCCCGCAGGGAAGAUCGUCUUUGCGGCCGCACGGCUCGCCCUCCACCAGGGCGCACACCAGGCAGCAGUUGCAACGGUCGGGCACGUAGCCGCCGGGGCAGCUGGGACUUGGGCAUGUACUCACGUCACACCUCGUGGGACACCUUGACCUGGGCUCUGCGCCUUCAGACUCCUUCAGCGACUCUUCCCACUAUCCUCAGCGAAGGGAAGAUCUUUGUCCUCUCUGUGUUGCUUUUGCCCGUGCAAGCAGCAGAAACAUUCCCUCCAAUGGCUUGAGAGCUUCACAGCAGAGAGGAGAAAGAGGCGGAGGUCGUCUCUGGAGAAGGCGGAGCAACUUGCAUGUAUAACAGCAGUUCACCUGCAGCUGAUAAAGGGUGGCAAGCAAUGGAGCCUCAGGUGCGUCCAUUAGCUCCACCUCCAGUCCAAGUGAUGGCUACCGAGGAGAGAAAAAAGACAAAUGAGAACACAGGCGCAGGAAGACAGAGAAUACCACAACACAGCGGACUCUGAUGCCCUUUUUGGUUCCAGUGGACUACACAUCAUCCACCUUAAUGUGAACAGCCUCUCUGGAGCCAAACUCGACCAAAUCAGAGAAAUGUUCCUCAACACGAAGGUAAAAAUCUUGUGUUUCUCUGAAACCAAAUUUGAUCAAAGUAUUUCUGACUCAGAGAUAGAAAUAGAAAACUUUUCGGUUAUCAGAAAGGACAGGAAUAAACACGGUGGGGGCGUUUGUAUGUAUAUUCACCAAGAUAUUAAAUACAUAACUCGCACUGAUCUUAACCACAAUGACCUGGAAUCUGUGUGGGCGGAAAUCAAAUUUAAAAACGCUAUGCCGGGAACUAAUAGGGACUGUUUAUAGACCCCCUAAUCAGAGUGAUUUCUAUGGGGUUUUGGAAGAAUGCUUGGCGGGGACAGACAACGUGGAGAAAAUUAUAACUGGGGAUCUGAACACAGAUAUUCAACGCAAAGAUGCGCCUGUCUUCAGAUCCUUCAGCAAGUUUUGUAAUCUGCACCGUCUUUCCCAGCUAAUAGCGCUACCUACAAGGGUGUGUGAUUCGACCCAAUCAACCAUAGAUCUCAUUCUCACUUCAGACCGGCCUAAAAUAAAAAAUAGUGGGGUCAUGAUCUGUGGUCUUAGCGACCACUAU